rnacentral:ncRNA from 2 species
UGAUCAUGAUGAUGAUGAUGAUGAUGAUGGGUGUGAUCAUGAUGGUGAUGAUCAUGCCCGCCAUGAUCACAACAAUCAUCACGUCCCUGCAAGA